rnacentral:rRNA from 1 species
AUUGAACGCUGGCGGCAGGCUUAACACAUGCAAGUCGAGCGGAGAUGAGGUGCUUGCACCUUAUCUUAGCGGCGGACGGGUGAGUAAUGCUUAGGAAUCUGCCAUUUAGUGGGGGACAACAUUCCGAAAGGAAUGCUAAUACCGCAUAUGUCCUACGGGAGAAAGCAGGGGAUCUUCGGACCUUGCGCUAAAUGAUGAGCCUAAGUCGGAUUAGCUAGUUGGUGGGGUAAAGGCCUACCAAGGCGACGAUCUGUAGCGGGUCUGAGAGGAUGAUCCGCAACACUGGGACUGAGACACGGCCCAGACUCCUACGGGAGGCAGCAGUGGGGAAUAUUGGGCAAUGGGCGGAAGCCUGAUCCAGCCAUGCCGCGUGUGUGAAGAAGGCCUUUUGGUUGUAAAGCACUUUAAGCGAGGAGGAGGCUACUAGUACUAAUACUACUGGAUAGUGGACGUUACUCGCAGAAUAAGCACCGGCUAACUCUGUGCCAGCCGCCGCAGUAACAC